ensembl:lncRNA
CUGUAGCAAGAAGCUUCCUCUUGGCUUAGGGCUUUGAUCCGGUGUAGUACAAACAGUGCAAAAACCUGAAAGAGAAAUGAUACUGACUCGAACGGACGGGGGAAAGAGGAAGACGGGUGAUGAGGUGAAAGCGUGCGAGAUAUAUAAAUAAAGGCGGGCAGGAAUUUCACGUGAAGAGCCAUAGAAGAACGCAGACGGGCUUUUCAGUACAGCGACUGCGACACCGGCACGUAUACCGUACGCCGUCGACUCCACGCGUCUCUCUCUUCAGGGACCGGGACGCGAAGUUUAACUCCUUUCAGCGUCGGUAGGCAGGACGUCUCGGCCCGUCGAGACGCUGAGAUGGAAAAACCGCUCGACAUGAGUAAAAUCUUUUGAACGACACAUCAGACUUCAGUACGAACCACAACACAGCAGUCAGUAAAAAAAAAAAACACACGACGAAGAAAAACCCAGAGGAAAAAUCCCAUUAAGUAUCCAUAUUUGGACAUAUUGUUUGUUUAUUUAUUUAUUUAUUUAUUUUUAUGGUACACCAUUGGCACAGAUUCUGCUCUUAUAAAACCACGCUGUAUAGUUUCCCUAGUUCUUCAGUGCUACUGCAGGAUAAGUGUGUGUUUACAUGAGAGAGAGAGACAUGAGAGAGAGAGAGACAUGAGAGAGAGAGAGACAUGAGAGAGAGAGA